rnacentral:lncRNA from 1 species
CCCAAAACAAAGCCUGGCCCACGUGGGUGCUCCGCGUAUGUGUGUGGCUCUAGGCGGAGAUGCCGGGGGUGGAAAGAGCCGGUAACAGAAACAGAACGUGCUAGAGGAAGAGCAGCCUGCAGGGAAGGCUGGCACAGAUAACCACAAAAAGAAAGAAGGCCCCCGCAUCACGUCUUCACCAAGACCCCACUGGCAAGGCGAGGACAGCGCCUUUGGGUGGAUGCAUCUGUGACCCAGAGGCAAUGCUGGCUGUCCUGGUGUCUGAUUUGAUUGCAUCUGAUUUCAAAAUUUGAUCUCUGCUUCCUUCUGAAAACCUCAUUCCCUU